UAGGGAAUCUUCGGCAAUGGACGAAAGUCUGACCGAGCAACGCCGCGUGAGUGAAGAAGGUUUUCGGAUCGUAAAACUCUGUUGUUAGAGAAGAACAGGGACGUUAGUAACUGAACGUCCCCUGACGGUAUCUAACCAGAAAGCCACGGCUAACUACGUGCCAGCAGCCGCGGUAAUACGUAGGUGGCAAGCGUUGUCCGGAUUUAUUGGGCGUAAAGCGAGCGCAGGCGGUUUCUUAAGUCUGAUGUGAAAGCCCCCGGCUCAACCGGGGAGGGUCAUUGGAAACUGGGAGACUUGAGUGCAGAAGAGGAGAGUGGAAUUCCAUGUGUAGCGGUGAAAUGCGUAGAUAUAUGGAGGAACACCAGUGGCGAAGGCGGCUCUCUGGUCUGUAACUGACGCUGAGGCUCGAAAGCGUGGGGAGCAAACAGG
rnacentral:rRNA from 1 species